GACUAGAGUUUGAUCCUGGCUCAGAACGAACGCUGGCGGCAGGCCUAACACAUGCAAGUCGAGCGAGGACUUCGGUCCUAGCGGCGGACGGGUGAGUAACGCGUGGGAACGUGCCCUUUGCUUCGGAAUAGCCCUGGGAAACUGGGAGUAAUACCGAAUGUGCCCUACGGGGGAAAGAUUUAUCGGCAAAGGAUCGGCCCGCGUUGGAUUAGGUAGUUGGUGGGGUAAUGGCCUACCAAGCCGACGAUCCAUAGCUGGUUUGAGAGGAUGAUCAGCCACACUGGGACUGAGACACGGCCCAGACUCCUACGGGAGGCAGCAGUGGGGAAUCUUAGACAAUGGGCGCAAGCCUGAUCUAGCCAUGCCGCGUGAGCGAUGAAGGCCUUAGGGUUGUAAAGCUCUUUCGUGGGGGAAGAUAAUGACUGUACCCCAAGAAGAAGCCCCGGCUAACUCC
rnacentral:rRNA from 1 species